rnacentral:rRNA from 1 species
UACCGGCUGCUCGAGUGCUAGCCACUUUUACUGGGCUUAAAGCGUUCGUAGCUUGGUCGUUAAGUCUCUGGGGAAAUCUUCUGGCUUAACCAGAAGGCGUCUCAGAGAAACUGGCGACCUUGGGACCGGGAGAGGUAAGACGUACUUCGGGGGUAGGAGUGAAAUCUUGUAAUCCCCGAGGGACGACCGAUGGCGAAGGCAUCUUACCAGAACGGCUCCGACAGUGAGGGACGAAAGCUGGGGGA